AUACUGCUGAAGAGUCUCAAACUAGGACGAAACAGCUGUCCAGUAC
rnacentral:hammerhead_ribozyme from 1 species